rnacentral:sRNA from 1 species
AUGCUCUGUGCUCGUGUAGCUUCUAAUGAUUCUUCUGCAUAGCUUCUUACAUUCUCCCACUCUGUGUUCCACACUCAUAUAGUCUCUAACAAUUCUUCUGUGUAGCUCUCAAUGAUUCCCCCACCUCACAUUCUGUGCUCAUAUAGCUUCUAACAAUUCUUACACAUACCUCUUAAUGUUCUUUCACUCCACACUCCACUGUGAAGUGGCUUCUGAUAUUCUUCCACUCUGAAUUUUCCUCUAUAAGAACCCUCUUCAUACAAUCUUUUCUUCUGAUUUCUUUUCUCUUUCUUUCCUUAAUCAAUUCAUAAUCUGUAUUAGAAUAGUGCU